rnacentral:rRNA from 1 species
GAUGAACGCUGGCGGCGUGCUUAACACAUGCAAGUCGAACGGAAAGGCUCCUGCUUGCAGGGGUACUCGAGUGGCGAACGGGUGAGUAACACGUGGGUGAUCUGCCCUGCACUUCGGGAUAAGCCUGGGAAACUGGGUCUAAUACCGGAUAGGACGAUGGUUUGGAUGCCAUUGUGGAAAGUUUUUUCGGUGUGGGAUGAGCUCGCGGCCUAUCAGCUUGUUGGUGGGGUAAUGGCCUACCAAGGCGUCGACGGGUAGCCGGCCUGAGAGGGUGUACGGCCACAUUGGGACUGAGAUACGGCCCAGACUCCUACGGGAGGCAGCAGUGGGGAAUAUUGCACAAUGGGCGCAAGCCUGAUGCAGCGACGCCGCGUGGGGGAUAACGGCCUUCGGGUUGUAAACUCCCUUCGCUAGGGACGAAGCGCAAGUGACGGUACCUGGAGAAGAAGCACCGGCUAACUACGUG